rnacentral:SRP_RNA from 1 species
UCUUUAGACCUGUGCAAUGCUUUUUACGAACACCGCUUCAGGGUGGGAACACAGCAGAGCACUCGUUUAAUGUUCAUGUGCCGCAGUUAUCUGAGGAGGG